rnacentral:rRNA from 1 species
AGCGGCGAAAGGGAGAGUAACGCGUGGUUACAUGCCCAGGGGUCCAGGAUAGCGUUGGGAAACUGGCGGUAAUACUGGAUAAUAUCUAAGGAUCAAAGGUGUGAUUCCGCCCUUGGAUUGGACCGCGUACUAUUAGCUUGUUGGUGGGGUAAAGGCCUACCAAGGCAUCGAUGGUUACCGGGUGUGAGAGCAUGGCCCGGCUCACUGGGACUGAGACACUGCCCAGACACCUACGGGUGGCUGCAGUCGAGAAUCUUCGGCAAUGGACGAAAGUCUGACCGAGCGACGCCGCGUGCGGGAUGAAGGCCCUCGGGUUGUAAACCGCUGUCAGUUUGGAGGAAAGAGAUGUGAAGAGCAUCUCCUGACCGAUAUUCAGAGGAAGGACGGGCUAAGUUCGUGCCAGCAGCCGCGGUAAGACGAACCGUCCAAACGU